GUUCGCCCGCCUCCAGGACCACAUGAUAAACCUUUUUUAUGCAGUUGCAAUCAGCGUCAGUACAACAAAUGUAAAUCAUUUACAACUUUCAACAACGGAUCUCUUGGUUCUGGCAUCGAUGAAGAACGCAGCGAAAUGCGAUACGUAGUGUGAAUUGCAGAAUUCAGUGAAUCAUCGAAUCUUUGAACGCACAUUGCGCCCUUUGGUAUUCCAAAGGGCAUGCCUGUUCGAGCGUCAUUUGUACCCUCAAGCUUUGCUUGGUGUUGGGCGUUUUUUGUCUUUGGUUUUGUCCAAAGACUCGCCUUAAAACGAUUGGCAGCCGGCCUACUGGUUUCGCAGCGCAGCACAUUUUUGCGCUUGCAAUCAGCAAAAGAGGACGGCACUCCAUCAAGACUCUAUAUCACUUUGACCUCGGAUCAGGUAGG
rnacentral:rRNA from 1 species